rnacentral:lncRNA from 1 species
CCUUUAUAGCUCAAUGCUUACUCCGGUGUUUCAUAACUGAAAUGAGUGGACGCGGUACUUUUAAGAACAUGGACUCCUUUAUUUGUUUUGGUUGAACAGUCUGCCUCCCAUACUGAAAAUUUUCAAGCUUUUGGACAGAACUGAACAGUGAACAAGUCUGGUGAUGAAGCUUGGACUACUUAAAGUAUCUUAGUUUCAUAGU